AAACUUUCAACAACGGAUCUCUUGGUUCUGGCAUCGAUGAAGAACGCAGCGAAAUGCGAUAAGUAAUGUGAAUUGCAGAAUUCAGUGAAUCAUCGAAUCUUUGAACGCACAUUGCGCCCGCCAGUAUUCU
rnacentral:rRNA from 2 species